AAAUUUCUGCCCUAUCAACUUUCGAUGGUAAGGUAUUGGCUUACCAUGGUUUCAACGGGUAACGGGGAAUUAGGGUUCGAUUCCGGAGAGUGAGCCUGAGAAACGGCUCACACAUCCAAGGAAGGCAGCAGGCGCGCAAAUUACCCAAUCCCGACACGGGGAGGUAGUGACAAUAAAUACUGAUACAGGGCUCUUUUGGGUCUUGUAAUUGGAAUGAGUACAAUUUAAACCUCUUAACGAGGAACAAUUGGAGGGCAAGUCUGGUGCCAGCAGCCGCGGUAAUUCCAGCUCCAAUAGCGUAUAUUAAAGUUGUUGCAGUUAAAAAGCUCGUAGUUGAAUCUUUGGCCUGGCUGGCGGGUCCGCCUCACCGCGUGCACUUGUCCGGCCGGGCCUUCUCUUCUGGAGAACCGCAUGCCCUUCACUGGGCGUGUUGGGGACCAGGACUUUUACUUUGAAAAAAUUAGAGUGUUCAAAGCAGGCCUUUGCUCGAAUACGUUAGCAUGGAAUAAUAGAAUAGGACGUGCGGUCCUAUUUUGUUGGUUUCUAGGACCGCCGUAAUGAUUAAUAGGGACAGUCGGGGGCAUCAGUAUUCAAUUGUCAGAGGUGAAAUUCUUGGAUUUAUUGAAGACUAACUACUGCGAAAGCAUUUGCCAAGGAUGUUUUCAUUAAUCAGUGAACGAAAGUUAGGGGAUCGAAGACGAUCAGAUACCGUCGUAGUCUUAACCAUAAACUAUGCCGACUAGGGAUCGGGCGGUGUUAUCGAUUUGACCCGCUCGGCACCUUGCGAGAAAUCAAAGUGUUUGGGUUCUGGGGGGAGUAUGGUCGCAAGGCUGAAACUUAAAGGAAUUGACGGAAG
rnacentral:rRNA from 1 species